rnacentral:rRNA from 1 species
GCUGGCGGCAUGCCUAACACAUGCAAGUCGAACGAAGGCUUCGGCCUUAGUGGCGCACGGGUGCGUAACGCGUGGGAAUCUGCCCUCAGGUACGGAAUAACUCAGGGAAACUUGAGCUAAUACCGUAUAAUGACUUCGGUCCAAAGAUUUAUCGCCUGAGGAUGAGCCCGCGUCGGAUUAGCUAGUUGGUGAGGUAAAGGCUCACCAAGGCGACGAUCCGUAGCUGGUCUGAGAGGAUGAUCAGCCACACUGGGACUGAGACACGGCCCAGACUCCUACGGGAGGCAGCAGUGGGGAAUAUUGGACAAUGGGCGCAAGCCUGAUCCAGCAAUGCCGCGUGAGUGAUGAAGGCCUUAGGGUUGUAAAGCUCUUUUACCCGGGAUGAUAAUGACAGUACCGGGAGAAUAAGCCCCGGCUAACUCCGUGCCAUCAGCCGCGGUAAUACGGAGGGGGCUAGCGUUGUUCGGAAUUACUGGGCGUA